rnacentral:lncRNA from 1 species
AAUGAGAACUGGGUGAACAAGUGUAGCGACGUUUCCUCAAUCACAGAGGAAGAAGAGGUCUAAGAAAAUGAGGAAAGCAGAGGCUGGAUUUGAAUUUCAGGAAGAUGCCGAUAAAAAUGGAGAUGAGGUGUCGAAGAAGAUUGGUGUCAACUUCAAACAGAGUGAGCCGCACAACAAACCAAGUUCUGGAGGUGAAAUUGAAGUGAAUGAGGUUAGGGGCAGUAAAGCAACAUAUUGGAUGCCAACCUCUGUUAAACCACAAAGAAGAAGGAAGAAUGUUCUAGAGAGCCAUGUCUGAAAGGGGCUCGAUAUGGGAACCGGAACUGGGGAUAAGUAUUUGUAAGACAGUUCCCUGACCCACUGAGCGGACCGAUAGGGGGCUAAAUUCCACUCGCUCUGUCAAAGAGGAACACAGAAAUCACUUCCCACUGCUUCAGAAGCCAGAGAGGAGAGAGGAAGAGGAAGGAAGGUGACGUUGCUAAGUGACUGGUCUUCAACACUAGAACCACUCUCCUUCCUACUGGCCUCUCAAACUAACACAGCCAAGUGCAUCCAAACAAGCUAAAGAUUUAAUUAUUCACUUUUAUCAACAACAUUUCCUGUUGAACUGUCCAAACACGGGAGGGAGGCUUUAGUUUGCUUUCUCCUCUAAGUCUUUAGAGAACACUGCAUCUUCAUGUAAACCUGCUUUGAUAGAGUAGCGGCUCAAUGAGAGCUUUGUUUUGGGCACCAUUUAAUCCUUUCUGCUCCCUUCUAAUCAAUGGACACUUAGCAAACUUAGGAGAAAAGAGGCAGUUACAAAACUGACCUGGUGUCCAUUUAACACAUCAGAAAGCGGUUGGCUUGAGUUUUGGACAUCAUGCUAUGUCAUUCUCCCCCACUUGGCAUAGAUACUGUACCAGUGUCCAAUUCAGAUGGCAAUGUGACAACGAUCCAAUUACAUAAAAACUAUGAAUAAACACUUAGCUGAUGAAAAUAGAAGCUAGGAGAAUCAGCUGGACAUAGUGGUGAAUGGUGGUCUUCAGGCAGCACUUACAUGAUCAAACAACCAUAGUCCCUCCUGAGAAGAAACAUAUGGGAAUGUUCUGUAAACAAACACAGAACAAGGAAGCGUAAGCAUCAGGAACCUCCCACAAUGCAUUGCUCAACAGGGAUGUGAUAAUAAUGCAUGGAAUACUGUAUAAAGCUAAAGUCACGGUGCUGCAGACAGAGGACAACUUUUGAGAACUCACCUCAUUGUUAUAUAUGAGGUGGCGGUGAAAUAGUGAAAGUAUUAACGCUGUUGCACAGGGCUGAAAGUCUAAACUGAUAUCAAACAAUUAACUUCCUGGACUUCAACUCCAACUUCCUGAUCUGAAUAUUGUUUCCUUGAAGGUCACCGUCUGUUUCAUAAAUAUCUCCCUGAUAACCUCUCUUCAGACUUAAUUAAAGCAGAGGAAAGACUACCUCACGCAGUAAUGGGGAGUUUAUCAUUGACCUUCUGACAGGGCUAUUGGCCUCCAUUGGCCAUGUCAUCGCCCCCAUCUGAAACACCAUUGUACUGGGGUGGACACAAUUUGCCACUACCGCUAAUGACCAUUAGACUCUCUUUCAAAGAAGCAGAGGAAAUGGCUUAUCAGUAGAGUGGACUGAUCAAGUUAUUUGGAUCUCUUCUCAUUAUUGAGGACAUUCAGAGAGUUCGUCUGGUCCUCUCUGCUUUGUAGGACCAGAUACAGGGAAUUAUACUGUAAUAAUGCUGUUAUCGCAUUGUGGGAUGUUUUUCUGAGGUGCAUUGAAUUGGGCCUGAGAUGGAAAUCUGUUUCAUGGUCCUCAUGGUGUGUGUUGUAUAGUGGAGUUAGAAGAUUAAUAAGGGGAAUAAAAGACUGUUGAAAGGCUGUUGAACUGAGAGCUAUGUGUUGUGUUCACUUCCCAACUGCACGGACACUCGAGAUGUUGUUAAUCGGAUUGUCUUCUCUUUGAAAUGUUGAAAAACAUAAAGGGGCAAUGUCAGAUUUCAACUGUCAGUUCAUGACUUGAUACAAUCUGGCCCUGGUAUCAAUAAGUAAUGGGUUGGUUUUCUUAAAUACUGGAAAACUUCACCACAGUAGUUUAUGAUACUAUCAUGGCUCAUGGCUGUAUAUCUUAUAUAAACUGUAGCUUUAAUUAUAUGACUUGUAUAAUAGCUUGAAAGACUGGCCCCUAAUUGCAUGACUAUCCCUGCAAUGAACCGAGGCGCAGUCAAUUCGGAGAGUCGCUAAUUGCAAAUAAAAUUCCAUUUUAUGUAUGCGAAUGAGUUUCUACUGGUAUGUUUAUUAAUAUUUAACUUGAACAUUCUCGUGGGACUUCCUUGAUCUGUUUCAUUCACUGCACACACUUGGCAUGGUUUCAUUGUAGUUCUGAGCUCGCCUCUAGAAUUUUGCUCAGGGAGACAGCUUUUGACUCCAUGAGCGAGCACGACAUGUUCAGGAAAAUGCCAGAAAGGCUUUUGUCA